rnacentral:rRNA from 1 species
UGGGGGAAUAUUGGGCAAUGGACGCAAGUCUGACCCAGCAACGCCGCGUGAAGGAAGAAGGCUUUCGGGUUGUAAACUUCUUUUAAGAGGGAAGAGUAGAAGACGGUACCUCUUGAAUAAGCCACGGCUAACUACGUGCCAGCAGCCGCGGUAAUACGUAGGUGGCAAGCGUUGUCCGGAUUCAUUGGGUUUAAAGGGUGCGCAGGCGGGUCUGUAAGCCCGUGGUGAAAGCCUGGUGCUCAACGCCAGAGGUGCCGCGGGAACUGCAGGUCUUGAGUCGUGACGAGGGCGGCGGAAUGCGAAGUGUAGCGGUGAAAUGCUUAGAUAGUUCGCAGAACGCCGAUUGCGAAGGCAGCCGCCCAGGGACGCACUGACGCUGAGGCACGAAGGCAUGGGGGAUCGAACAGGAUUAGAUACCCUGGUAGU